rnacentral:tRNA from 1 species
GCGCCCGUAGCUCAAUUGGACAGAGCGUCUGACUACGGAUCAGAAGGUUAGGGGUUCGACUCCUCUCGGGCGCACCA